rnacentral:rRNA from 1 species
CCGACGGGUGAGUAACACGUAUGCAAUCCACCUGUAACAGGGGAGUAACCGGAGAAAUCCGGACUAAUACCCAUAAUAUGGGCGCUCCGCAUGGAGAGUCCAUUAAAGAGAGCAAUCUUGGUUACAGACGAGCAUGCGCUCCAUUAGCCAGUUGGCGGGGUAACGGCCCACCAAGGCGACGAUGGAUAGGGGUUCUGAGAGGAAGGUCCCCCACAUUGGAACUGAGACACGGUCCAA